rnacentral:lncRNA from 1 species
GUUUUCGUGCACGCUGCUCUCUGAUUGGAGAAUCCAAGGACAUCAUGGGGACGGCAGAUGAGCUUCUGGAGCUGAUGUUCUCCUGGAUGAAGCAGAGGGAGCUCUGUGCUAAGGAGCUAAAAAAGCUGGCCCGGGAGCUGGAGUCGCUGAGGGAGAAAUGUAACGCCGCGGACUGUGUAGGCAGUGUUUACUCCGUGGUGGGCUCGGCCUGUCUGCUCGGUGCAGGAGGGCUCACCCUGCUCACCGGUGGAGCUGCUGCUCCCCUUUUACUUACCGUGGGAUCGGUGGUAGGCGGCGCAGGAUUGACCCUCCAGGUGGGAAGCAAAUUGACCGAGGAGUUCUGCUCCAGCAGCACCAUGAAGGAAGCCGAGAGCCAGAAUCAAGAGAGCAGCACCAUCUCGGAGAAAAUCCAGGAGCUCUACCAGAAGCUAAAGAACGAGAGGAUGGAGACCAAACCGUCCGCCGAUCCCGACGAGCUUGAGCACCACGUCAUGGCGGAGAUUGUUACAGCCAUGGCGCGACGAAGAGGGCUGAAGAAACCCAUCAACCUGCGCUACCUUCACGGCUCCUUCUCUGUGGGACAACAUCGGAAAAUGCAGGUCCUUACUCAUACUCUGGCCAUCACCUACGCCGGAGUGUUGGCCUUCUUCUCCCUCAAAACUGGAGGGAAGAAAUUUGAAAUUCUCCUGGCAGAAGGAGCAAGAAGACUCGCCAUGAAAAUGUCUUCAGUCGGACUCAAGGCAGUCAUGAAGGGAGGAGCCUUGGCGGUGGGGGCUGCCGUGGGAAUGGUGUUUGCGCUAAAAGAAGCGAUCGACAGCUGGACCGAGCUAAUCGAGAAGAACCAUGUGACUGAGGCCAGCCAAUCCCUGAGGGACACAGCAGACACAUUGGAUAAGAUGAACAGAAUGCUGGGAGAGCAGCUGGAACAGAUUCAGGAGGUUUUAGAGGAGAUGGUAGACAACAAUGAAGAAGAGGAUGAUGAAGAGAAUGAAAAGGAAGAAGAAAACGAACAAGAGGAGGACGAAGAAGAGAGCGAGUCAGGUGAAAGAGACCAGGAGCACGAAGAUGAGGAUGAAAAUGAGGAAGAUACCGAGGAUGAUGAGAGAAACGAAGAUGAGGAUGAAAAUGAGGAGAGCGACGAAAAUGAGGAAGAUACCGAGGAUGAUGAGAGCAACGAAGAGAAGGAUGAUGAAGAGAGCAGUGAUGUAAAUGCUACGCCUGUAAAGGUUGGCCUUCAGAACGUGUGCUCGGCGAAGCAUAAGAUGUCUAAGAUCGGAAACCUGAUCACACAGAAUGGCCUUGACGCGUUGCUGACGUGUGAGACGUGGCUACAGAGAGACAACGAAGACGCAGUUCUUCAGCAAAACCUACCGGAAGGCUUUGACUACUACCACCGGCCAAGGGGGCGGCGUGGAGGCGGCGUGGGCGUGCACUUCCAUAGGGGACUGAUGCACGAGUGGCUGACCCACCGACAUCAGUUCCACAUCACCACCUUUGAGUUCAUGGGCAUCCUGCUAACUCACCCGCAGUGGAACGAGCCGGUCCUUGUCAUCAACGUGUACCGCCGUCCAGGCGGGAACCUGGUCCAGUUCGACGAAUUUAUGCGGGACUUCCAGAUGUUGCUGGAUGCGGUUUAUGAAGAGCACCCUUCCAUCGUCCUUGUCGGGGACUUCAACAUCUGGGUGGAUGACGAACGGAGAACCAGGACCAGACGCUUCCUGGACUUCCUGGGGGGUUAUGGCUUCAAUCAGUACGUUGAAGGUUCGACACAGCGCUACGGACACACCCUGGACCUCGUCAUUGGCAGAAACGUUGAAAUCCCAGAGCCAUCGAUUUGGAACCACCACAUCUCCGAUCAUUUCACCGUCAUCUUCACUAUCAGGCCAAUACCGAGAAAAAGGAAGGGGCCGAAAAAAAGACAAAGCAAACGGCUCCAAAAGUAA